rnacentral:rRNA from 1 species
UACGAAGGGGGCUAGCGUUGUUCGGAAUUACUGGGCGUAAAGCGCGCGUAGGCGGACAUCUAAGUCAGAGGUGAAAUGCCGGGGCUUAACCUCGGAACUGCCUUUGAUACUGGAAGUCUGGAGUUCGGGAGAGGUGAGUGGAAUUCCGAGUGUAGAAGUGAAAUUCGUAGAUAUUCGGAGGAACACCAGAAGCGAAGGCGGCUCACUGGCCCGAUACUGACGCUGAGGCGGCGAAAGCGUGGG